rnacentral:rRNA from 1 species
AUUGAACGCUGGCGGCAUGCUUUACACAUGCAAGUCGAACGGUAGAGGGGCAACCCUUGAGAGUGGCGAACGGGUGAGUAAUACAUCGGAACGUGCCCAGUCGUGGGGGAUAACGUAGCGAAAGCUACGCUAAUACCGCAUACGACCUGAGGGUGAAAGCGGGGGAUCGCAAGACCUCGCGCGAUUGGAGCGGCCGAUGGCAGAUUAGGUAGUUGGUGGGGUAAAGGCCUACCAAGCCUGCGAUCUGUAGCUGGUCUGAGAGGACGACCAGCCACACUGGGACUGAGACACGGCCCAGACUCCUACGGGAGGCAGCAGUGGGGAAUAUUGGACAAUGGGCGCAAGCCUGAUCCAGCAAUGCCGCGUGAGUGAUGAAGGCCUUAGGGUCGUAAAGCUCUUUUACCCGGGAUGAUAAUGACAGUACCGGGAGAAUAAGCUCCGGCUAACUCCGUG